AUACGGAGGAUCCGAGCGUUAUCCGGAUUUAUUGGGUUUAAAGGGUGCGCAGGCGGCCAUUUAAGUCAGCGGUUAAAUCGUGGGGCUCAACCCCAUUCUGCCGUUGAUACUGGGUGGCUUGAUUGCGGUCGAGGUUGGCGGAAUUCGUUGUGUAGCGGUGAAAUGCAUAGAUAUGACGAAGAACACCGAUUGCGUAGGCAACUGACCAGACCGCAAAUGACGCUCAUGCACGAAAGUGCGGGGAUCGAACAGGAUUAGAUACCCUGGUAGUCCGCACAGUAAACGAUGAAUACUUGUUUUCGGCGAUAUAAUGUCGGAGGCAAAGCGAAAGCGAUAAGUAUUCCACCUGGGGAGUACGCCGGCAACGGUGAAACUCAAAGGAAUUGACGGGG
rnacentral:rRNA from 1 species